UCACAGCUCACUGCAGCCUUGACCUUCCAGCUUCUUGGCUCAAGUAGUCCUUGCACCUCAGCCUUCCAAGUAGCUAGGACUACAGACAUGUGCCACCAUGUCCAGCUAAUUUUAUUAUGUUUUUGUAGAGACAGGGUCUCACUAUGUUACCCAGGCUGGUCUCAAACUCCUAGGCUCAAACCAUCCUUCUGUUUUGGCCUCCAAAGUGCUAGAAUUAUAGGCGUGAGACACCAUGCCCAGCCUUAAGACUUGUUUUUUGAGUGACUACUUUUAGAGCUGCUGGUAUUAGGAAAUGGUGCUGCGAGCUAACAGGAGUCUGCAGCCCUGCAGCACACAACUGUCAACAUGCAAGCCCAGAUGCUUACAGUACCAUGGAAUAACAGGGCUAUAAUUGAGGUCUUUGAAAGGACAUAGAAAGGGCCUGGUUGCUCUUCCCCUAGCAGGAGAUGGGAGGAGAAAUCUUGAAAGGGGAUGUUAGAGCCUGUUAAGAUGCUGAUUCUGGGGAAAGAAUACCAGCAGACUGGGUAUAGCUUAUUUUGGAGGGAAGAUGUAAUCUGAUGCUUUUUAGGUUACAAACUUCUUUCAUUUUCAAAUACCUGUUAUCUCUUCUCUGAACCAAAAUGAAUGACCUAUAUCAGUGGUUCUCAAAGUGUGAUCCCUGGAUCAGCAGCAUCACCAUUCCCAGGAAACUGGCUAAUGCAACUGCUCAAGCUCCACUCCAGACCUACUGAUUCUGCAACUGUGGAGCUGAACCAGUGACCUAUGUUUUAAUAAGCCUUCCAGGUAAUGUUAAUACUUGCUCAUGUUAGAGAAUCACUGGUUUAGAGAAAACUAGUAAUUGUUCCAUAAAUUUAGUUUAAAGAAGGAGAAAGAAGCCUGUCCUUUAGCCAAGUUUAAAAAAAAAAAGGCUGAUUACAGAGGAAAUUUUGAGAGCAUCUAAGGUUAAAAAAAAAAAAGUUUAGCUUGGCUGGAGGCCUGGCAGAACAGUCGUUGUGGAGAAACCAGUGCUUCACAGAGAGAACCGCAAACACUAAACUGGAUAGCUGCUGUCUGCCACUCAGGAGCAAGUGCAGACUAGAGACUUAUGGAGGUCUCCAGUAUCCUUCUCUGAGAUACCAAUCCUUAACCCAAGAAAUCCAAGGCCAAUAGCUAAGUAUAAAAGUUAUUCUCUGAGAGUGAGAAUACCUAGAUUAGGGAUAAUGGAUAAUAAAGCUGUAUGAGGCCAGGCGUGGUGGCGGGCACAGUGGCUCAUGCCUGUAAUCCUAGCACUUUGGGAGGCCAGGGUGGGCAGAUCACCUGAGGUCAGGAGUUUUGAGACCAGCCUGGCUAAGAAGGUGAAACCGUUCCUACUCAAAAUACAGAAAUUAUCCAGGCAUGGUGCGUGACUGUAGUCCCAGCUACUCAGGAGGCUGAGACAGGAGAGUCCCGUGAAUCGGGGAGGUGGAGGUUGCAGUGAGCCGAGAUCGCCCUACUGCACUCCAG
rnacentral:lncRNA from 10 species